ensembl:lncRNA
UUAAAGGAAAUGGAAACACUUUGUGGUUGAAGUGUCUGUGCUUUACAUAGAGGACUUGUAGUUUGAUCAACACCUUUACAAACGACAGACACAAUGGAGAAGAUCAUGUUCUUUUGUGCUGUUUCAUACAGAAUAAUUCAGAUCACUUCCAGCGAUGUUUCAGAACAUGAUGUGAGUAUUUUACGAGUCCGGCUGAAUGAAAGCAUCACUCUGAACUGCAGCAUGACAGACAGAUAUGAAAUCUCCUGGUAUCACCAAAAUCCUGAUUCUGGACGACUAACACUACUGAUGUCUGCCAAGACCAGCAGUGUAGCGGGAAGAAAACUGCUAGUUAGGUUCAAUCAAAACUGUCGUCUGACAGUUCAUGCAGAUGUGGAGAUCAACACAGUCUCUCUAGUUAUUUCUGGACUAACAGAGUCAGACUCUGGUCUUUAUUUCUGUGGAACUAAAUCAGUGGAAAUGCACUUCAACAAACCAAUCAGACUACAGAUCGAGGACAAGCUGACAGACAGAGAAGACAAAGUUCAGUCCGUUACAGAUCCUUCAGUGGAUGAUAAGAUCCCAGAUGCUUCAGAACAUAAUGUGACUCUGUUAAGAUUUCAGCUGAAUGAAACCAUCACUCUGAACUGCAACAUGACCCACACAUACGAAAUAGCCUGGUAUCACCAGAAUCCUGAAUCUGGACGACUAACACUGCUGAUAUUUGCUAUAGGCAGGAGAAAAGAGAUAUAUUUAAUCAAUCAAAACACUCGCGUAACAGUUAAAGCAGAUAUAAGGAGCAACACAGUCUCGCUAGUUAUUACUGGACUAAUGGAGUCAGAUUCAGGUCUUUAUUUCUGUGGAACAAGAUCAGCGACUUCAGAAAUGCACUUUCGGAAACCCAUCAGACUACAGAUCGAGGGUUAGUACUGCCGACUUCUCAAUUUCUCUCAAACUUUCAUACUGUUUUUAAUGCUGAGAAUUAUUUAACUGUUGCUCAAUUUAUUUCAAUCAUCACUAGAACUACACUCAUAAAAAUAAAGUUUCCAAAAAGGCAGUUUUUUUUCUCA